AUGACCCUCUGGACGCUGGAUGGCGCGGUGGAGGCCAUCGGGGACAAGGUGAUCGUGGAUCGCCUCGACAGCCGCACGCACGAGCGCGCCGACACCAAGCUCUUCGCCUGCUGGGUCUGGUGCUGGGACACUGCCCACAUCCCUACCAGGUGCACCAUCUGGCCCCAGGGGGCGGGCCGCGUCGACGAGAUGCUAGGCUACUCUCCCCCGAGCCGUGCGGUGGCGCCACCCCCCGAGCUGCUGCAGUACGAUCUCCUGCUCCACCUUGAUCGUGUUGAGGACUGG
rnacentral:rRNA from 1 species